rnacentral:rRNA from 1 species
GACGAACGCUGGCGGCGUGCUUAACACAUGCAAGUCGAACGGAAAGGCCCUGCUUUUGUGGGGUGCUCGAGUGGCGAACGGGUGAGUAACACGUGAGUAACCUGCCCUUGACUUUGGGAUAACUUCAGGAAACUGGGGCUAAUACCGGAUAGGAGCUCCUGCUGCAUGGUGGGGGUUGGAAAGUUUCGGCGGUUGGGGAUGGACUCGCGGCUUAUCAGCUUGUUUGUGGGGUAGUGGCUUACCAAGGCUUUGACGGGUAGCCGGCCUGAGAGGGUGACCGGCCAAAUUGGGACCGAGAUACGGCCCCGACUCCUACGGGAGGCAGCAGUGGGGAAUAUUGCAAAAUGGGCGGAAGCCUGAUGCAGCAACGCCGCGGGCGGGAUGGCGGCCUUCGGGUUGUAAACCGCUUUCGCCUGUGACGAAGCGUGAGUGACGGUAAUGGGUAAAGAAGCACCGGCUAACUACGUG